rnacentral:pre_miRNA from 1 species
UUGUGGGGAGUCACUCUAGGCACCGCAGCACUGCACUGGGGAUGUUGCAGCUGCCUGGGAGUGACUUCACACAGUCCUC